rnacentral:rRNA from 1 species
GAUGAACGCUGGCGGCGUGCCUAAUACAUGCAAGUCGAGCGAACAGAUGAGGAGCUUGCUCCUCUGACGUUAGCGGCGGACGGGUGAGUAACACGUGGAUAACCUACCUAUAAGACUGGGAUAACUUCGGGAAACCGGAGCUAAUACCGGAUAAUAUAUUGAACCGCAUGGUUCAAUAGUGAAAGACGGUUUUGCUGUCACUUAUAGAUGGAUCCGCGCCGCAUUAGCUAGUUGGUAAGGUAACGGCUUACCAAGGCAACGAUGCGUAGCCGACCUGAGAGGGUGAUCGGCCACACUGGAACUGAGCCACGGUCCAGACUCCUACGGGAGGCAGCAGUAGGGAAUCUUCCGCAAUGGGCGAAAUCCUGACGGAGCAACGCCGCGUGAGUGAUGAAGUUCUUCGGAUCGUAAAACUCUGUUAUUAGGGAAGAACAAAUGUGUAAGUAACUAUGCACGUCUUGACGGUACCUAAUCAGAAAGCCACGGCUAACUACGUG